GAUGAACGCUGGCGGCGUGCUUAACACAUGCAAGUCGAACGGAAAGGCCCAGGCUUGCUUGGGUACUCGAGUGGCGAACGGGUGAGUAACACGUGGGUGAUCUGCCCUGCACUUCGGGAUAAGCCUGGGAAACUGGGUCUAAUACCGGAUAGGACGAUGGUUUGGAUGCCAUUGUGGAAAGUUUUUUCGGUGUGGGAUGAGCUCGCGGCCUAUCAGCUUGUUGGUGGGGUAAUGGCCUACCAAGGCGUCGACGGGUAGCCGGCCUGAGAGGGUGUACGGCCACAUUGGGACUGAGAUACGGCCCAGACUCCUACGGGAGGCAGCAGUGGGGAAUAUUGCACAAUGGGCGCAAGCCUGAUGCAGCGACGCCGCGUGGGGGAUGACGGCCUUCGGGUUGUAAACUCCUUUCGCUAGGGACGAAGCGUUUUGUGACGGUACCUGGAGAAGAAGCACCGGCUAACUACGUG
rnacentral:rRNA from 1 species